CAUUCUCCCAGUUUCCUGCAGCCAUGGCUGGUCAACACACAACCAGACUCCUCUUCGUCUUCACCUCAGUCUCUGUGUGCUUCGUCCUCUUCACCCAAGCUGAAGCCUGCAUCACCGAGAUCAGGGUCGAGCGCGUGGUUUGGUCCACCUCUUUCAACCUCAGCUGUGCACGCUUAACAGGAAUGGAGCGCAUUGUGACCCUAGACAAGGAGAAACAGCACGUCCAUAACCUUACCAUCCUGGAACAGGAGAUUGCUGUGGAGGUGAACGAAAACCUGCGUCUGCUGGUGGAAGGAGACAGGGUCGUGUACGAGUUCAAACAGGUGACAGAGCGGGAGGCGGGGGUGUACACCUGUGAGCUGCAGAGGAACUACCCCCCACCUUUCAAGAAGGAGGUCCGCAUGUCUGCUCUUUUUACAGAACCCCUACAACGACUGACUCUGGAGCCCGGUCCCCCUCGGCUGAAUGCGUCCAAGGAGGAGCACCAGACGAGCCCCGUGCCCUCAGAGGUCUGCCCGCCUCCCGUGGGCCUCUGGUCGGUCUGUAUAGGGGUGUCCAUGCUCUGUGCCGUGGCCAUCGUCAUCGCCCUGGUGCUGGGGGUAAGAGUGUGUCACAGUCUCCUCCCGCAUACAGAUCUCACAUGUUCCACAGUGCUGUUUAUGUGUGUGGUUCCACAGUGCUGUUUAUGUGUGUGGUUAGAGGUUCGAGGUGAGGGGGAGAGAAAGAGAGAAACAGAGGAGAGAAAGAGUCACAGAGAGAGAGGGAUAUACAAGAUAUACAAACAACACACACAUACUGCUAUUGUAAACUAUAUACUGUAUGAUGUUCUUUUUGCUGAUUCAUUCACUGCCACCUAGAUCACCUAGAGGUCCCCACAUGACACCUAUAUGUGUAGUGUGUACAAGUACUGCAAAUACACACAUACAAACACACACACACACACACACACACACACACACACACAAACACACACAAAUACGGACACAGGCAGAGUUUCAGAUGUGUAUCAUGUGUACUCUGUUUGUCUCUGGUCUGAAGAAAUCAAAGAGUCAAAUCAGAGUUUCAAAGUUGAGUUGAGUUGCGUUUCUGGGGAAAUAACACCUACCGCUAUGAUGUACAGGAAGGAGGUUCUGAGAUUAAACAUCCCACCUAAGCUACCUACAUCCUUGUUCCAAAUAACAAACACGUCAUUUGAUGUGUGUAUCUGUCUGUCUGUGUGUGUGAGUAUGUGUAUGAGAGACAGAGACAGAGACAGAGACAGAGACAGAGACAGAGACAGAGAGAGAGAGAGAGAGAGAUUUACUUUCUAUGGCAUUUGUCUAAAAGUACUGCAUGUUUUAUGGAAGAAGUCCCAAAGAGGAAAAGAGGGGAGGAGAGAAGGGGGAAAGGGGGA
rnacentral:lncRNA from 1 species